rnacentral:sRNA from 1 species
AAAAUAUAUAAAAUGUCAUAUGGAUCGUUGGAUUAGGUUGUCAGCUGCACAAGACAGCAUACUUCUUAUUUAUGUGAAAGGUGGAGACCUCAAGUAACAUAGUUGAGGAGCUGGGGAGCUGGGUGACCACUGGCAAAGAAGGAUGCUGUAAGUGUGGUCAAGCUGCAUGAAAUUGAAAUGGUCAAGCCAUAAACUUGGCCAUUUGUACUCCAGUUCUGUUAUGAGUAGAAGCGAAAAAACAAUAAAAUGGCCCCAACGAGUGCAAACCGAAGAAACCCAAGGAGCAGCAAACCGAGAGCCCAAACGUGGGCCAAGGAAACGGACAAAUGUAAUAGAAAAUUGCCGCAAAA